CCUUAUAAAUAGUAGAUGUGCAAGUAGGGUUUAAACCGUGAAAAUAUUUGUGGUACCACAAAAUUAUGAAUGAAAGGAGACCUUUGGGAAAAGAAGCAGAGGAUCAAAUGACACAAAAAUUUAAUGAUCAGCAAAUAGAAGUAAAAUUUGAUAGAAAAGAUGCUCAUAUCAAAUCACUUGAUGAUCUUGUUAAUGUCAAUUCCUUGUUCACCCUAGCGGUGUUCGUUGGCUUAUCUCAAGCUUCACCAGGCAUUCGCAGCCUAGAGAACCGUCAUGACUGUGACGCUGGUCCAGGCGUAGCUAAAUGGCUCGUCGUCUAUGAAGUUGUAGCAUUUGCGUGUUUCCUUCUAUCCAGCCUUGUGGCGAAAGUACUUAAGCUACAUCUAUGCUUGGAAUGUCGAAGAUAUAGUUUUGUGAAAUCAAGAUUCGAUCUGAAGGACUUUAUGUUGAUCUUAGCAGCAACUGCUUCUGUUUUGGGCAUUAUUUUGCUUACGAUUUCAGUGGUUGAUGUGGUUCAAAUUCGAAUAGGUUUGUACUCUUGUGGAAGUGUUGAAGCAAGGAUAGCUAUUUGGGCACUUUGUACAAUUGUUGCCAUCGGUUUGAUGAUUUAUGUUGUGUCCAUAAGCAUAGCUAUUUAUGCUUCUAUUAUCGGAGAUGCUUUACCUGAUGAUCAGACCCUAAAUCCUCGUCAAGCACCCAAAAGUGAGUUUAAUAUCGUCUGAUGACGAUUCCAUUCAAGGACGACAUGGUGGUGUUCCGAAGCUGCAUGAUCUAGUUUAAUUAUGCUUCAAUACUUGGAUCCCAUGUUUAAUUUGGUACGAGAAAAAUGAAAUGAAAAUGUUACGUUUCUAUGCUUACGUAUGUGGUUAGACAUGUUUGGCUCCUCUUGUUAGAUGAAAUUAAUGAAUUUUUAGGAAAAAAAAAUUACAUGGAAUGUUAUUUGGUAUUAUAUA